AUUGAACGCUGGCGGCAGGCUUAACACAUGCAAGUCGAGCGAGUGGCGGACGGGUGAGUAAUGUCUGGGAAACUGCCUGAUGGAGGGGGAUAACUACUGGAAACGGUAGCUAAUACCGCAUACCAUCAGAUGUGCCCAUAUGGGAUUAGCUAGUUGGUGGGGUAAUGGCUCACAUAGGCGACGACCCCUAGCUGGUCUGAGAGGAUGACCAGCCACACUGGAACUGGGACACGGUCCAGACUCCUACGGGAGGCAGCAGUGGGGAAUAUUGCACAAUGGGCGCAAGCCUGAUGCAGCCAUGCCGCGUGUAUGAAGAAGGCCUUCGGGUUGUAAAGUACUUUCAGCGGGGAGGCGUUACCCGCAGAAGAAGCACCGGCUAACUCCGUGCCAGCAGCCGCGGUAAUAC
rnacentral:rRNA from 1 species